AAUCUGCUGGAGUCUGGGAAAAGGGAACUGCUUGCUGCCUUUGGCACUCAUUGCGUUCUUGCUGUUCGGUUGUGUUGAUAUCUGGUCCCAGGUCAGUUUAGAAUUGUCAUGGAUGCUUCUGGCACUGAUUCCACCACCAGGCUUGCUUAAAGAAAGGUCGAAAGCAAAGCGGAGGGAGGCCAUGACUGGUUCCGACGCCUUUGGAAUUCCUGGCGAAGCCCGUGGGUUGCUGUGGGAAGCCUCCUCCCGUAAGAUGUAAAAUCAAUGGGACGCCGUGCCUUUGAUGGCCCCAACGAUGAAGGCCAAAAGCAAAGGGAUGAAACGACAGAGGAGAGUCACCGACGAGGACCACGUGUGCCAAGAAACUGCCCAGAGCAAAGACGGACUUCUGAAACAUUCGCGGCGCAAAGAGACGAGGACUAACGAGAGCUCGAAGGCCACCUCCAGGGCUGCGAAACCCUCUUGGAGUAGUAAAGACAGGCGCUUGCGAAGGCUGGAGAGCAACGAGCGGGAACGCCAACGGAUGCACAAACUCAACAAUGCCUUCCAGGCUUUGAGGGAGGUCAUCCCUCACGUUCGGGCUGAGAACAAGCUCUCCAAGAUUGAGACUCUCACCUUGGCCAAGAACUACAUUAAAUCCCUCACCUCCACCAUCCUCAGCAUGUCGAACGGACACUUCUCCGCCAUUGAAGGCGGUGGUCCGGAUCCUGGCAGCAGGUCCAAACUGUACGAACACUAUCAGCAGCAAUGCGGGGAGGAAGACGAGUCGGUGGAGCAGCUUCAGAAAUACUCCACCCAGAUUCACAGUUUUAGGCAAGGGAGCUAAAGGGUGCUCAACGGUGCCCGGUCCACAUGUAUUGUUCCUUUUAAAAAAGGACAAAAUUAGCCAAGAAACCAACCUGUGAAUUUUCUCUAGAUUUCUCCUCUUCCCUAUAAGCUUUGGGAGGUGGGGCAUUUUCUUGCUCCUGGAUUGCUUAAGAGCAAGAUUUCAGUGAUCUGAUAAAUAAGAUGCAAAAAAGGUUUUGCAACAAGAUGGUGUCCGCUUCUCCAGCAGGUCACUUUUCCUGUUGCCCACCCCUCACCAAUUUUCAAAGUUUCGUUCUAGGUGGACAUUCAUUCUCAGUGCUCUGGGGCUGCUGAAAUGCUCAGUUCUCUGUCGUUUUUUUUUUCUUCUUGGCGAGCAGAGAGAGUGAGCCCUCCCUUAUUCUAAUGGGUGUGUUUUAAAACUCUGCCAACAGGAGUUCUCAGGAUGAGAGUAAUCCCUCAAUCUCAGUGAGAUCAGCCGUCCUUUUCAAUAAUCCCAGGCUGCUUCUUUUUCUGUUGACCCCGAGUUUGCUGUUAGGAAGAUUUUGCAGGAUAGGUUUCCUCCAUGAUGAUGGCCUGCAUGCACCAGUGGGGCAAGUUGAGAGUAAAUGCAAGGCAGAGCGCCAAAGCAGGCCAGGGAUUUGAAGCGCAGCGCAGGUUUGAGGUUGCAGUUCUAUAUAUUGUGCUGGGAAUAAGUGCUGAAGCUCUCAGCAUAUCGGACAGCAUUAGUUUACUAUAAUGUCGUUUUCCAGGGGGAGGGUAACUGGUCCUUUCUUCUCUCCCCGCUUGAAAGGAGUUACGUUUGCUUAGAUUUGAGCCCAUAGGAGGAGAGACCUCCUUUUUUUAAGUCCAUGUGCUAUGAUGCUUUGUGGUUCAAAAAGAAACAGGUUUCUCUUUUUGCCUUGCAAAAGAAAGUCCAUCAUGAAUGCAAAAGAAGGCGUUUUGAUAGAACUAAAGGUCACAUAGGGUUAGAUGCCAUUUAUGCAGUUAGCAAUUGUGUAAAUAUCUUUUGAAUAAGUAAUCGGUUGGAGUAGGGAGACUUAUUCCUAGGGUGACCCUUUUGUAUGGUGAAGAAGGCAGGAAAAAAAGGGGGAGUGUAACACUGUAUAUCCUUCUUAUCGGGAUUGGGGCCAUCUUCCUGUAAAAAAUUGGUUAGACUCCAACUCUCAACAAGCCAUGUUGUUUUUCUGCGUUGUCAAGUCAUCUCUGGCUUCUGGCAACCCUGUGAAUGAGCCAUCUGUUCAGCUUUUGGGAGACUCAAGCCUGUGGCUUCAUUUAAGGAGUCAGCCCAUCCUUGUCUUUGACAGUCCUCUUUUCCUACUGCCUUCCACCUUUCCAAGCAUGAUGUGGCCAAAGUAGGACAGCCUCAGUUUUAAUACUUUUGCCUCCAGAAGUAGUUCAGGCUUAAUUCGAUCGAAGGCCUGCUUGUUUGUUUUUUCUGGCAGUCCAGGGUCUCCGCACCACUAGCAAUGUCCACAUCUGGGGCCAAAAUUAGAGCCACAUGGCUAGUUGUGGUUCUAAAUUAACCUAGGGAAGUCUUCCCUAUUUUAUCCUUUGUUCUGGGAAUAUUUUGCCCCUACACUUUUUUGGGAACCCUAAGUGGCCGCCCUGGGUUGGUGUAUAGCAGCAUUGUAUGUUCUGCUCAUGAUGUUAUAAGUUUCAGACUUCAUCACCGGUGUAAGCGUACAUCCACAGCAUGGGCUGAAUGUAUGAUAGUGUUGAAGUGUUUAACUGCAUCUAGCUGCGCUGUUAUAAAUUGUAAAUAAUAGCAGUCGUGUUAAUAACUAACCCCGAGAACCUUUUUUUAGCAGCUUUUGCGAUUAGAAAAGAAAUUGAGAUUUUGUUGUAUAUUUAAACUCUUUGAAUUGAGGCCGUGAUUGGUUAAAAUUGAUCUGGAAUCAAAAUGAAAAAACAAUUUAUACUCCUGUGAAAUGCAAUUAAAGAAAAUCAAAGGAAAUAAUAA